rnacentral:rRNA from 1 species
CCUACGGGUGGCUGCAGUGAGGAAUAUUGGUCAAUGGGCGGAAGCCUGAACCAGCCAAGUAGCGUGCAGGAUGACGGCCCUACGGGUUGUAAACUGCUUUUAUACGGGAAUAACGCGCCUUACGUGUAGGUCUUUGCAUGUACCGUAUGAAUAAGGACCGGCUAAUUCCGUGCCAGCAGCCGCGGUAAUACGGAAGGUCCGGGCGUUAUCCGGAUUUAUUGGGUUUAAAGGGAGCGUAGGCCGGAUGUCAAGCGUGCUGUGAAAGGUCCGGGCUCAACCCGGGCCGUGCAGCGCGAACUGGCGUGCUGGAGUCCGCAGAAAGCAGGCGGAAUUCGUGGUGUAGCGGUGAAAUGCUUAGAUAUGACGAAGAACCCCGAUUGCGAAGGCAGCUUGCUGCAGCGGAACUGACGCUGAUGCUCGAAAGCGCGGGUAUCGAACAGGAUUAGAUACCCGAGUAGUC